CCUUCAACCCUUCUCAGUUGGUACAUACAGUUGCAUCGCUUUCUCUUCCAUGACCUCUCACUGUCUCUCUCCUCUCCCCUUGUAAGUGCUGGGCAAGCUCACAAGCUAUAGACACUGGGCCACAACCAACUAUAGCGCAUCGGUCUCUUGGAAAGCCUGAAGAUCAAAUCCCCUUCAACUCCCCAAAAGAUUUCCUGACCCAAAAUCUCCAUCUGCUGCAGCCUCUGCAUACACACACUGCCAAGUCUCCAUGACCGGCCCCUGAGGCAGCUAGCUGAUCGCUCGCCUUUUUAUUCAUCGCUGCACCACCUCACACAAACACGCACAAAGGUGACCGGCACUUGAGUUGGGAGAGAAGCUGGGCCUUUCCUCCUUGGUGCUGCUGGCUACCUAGCUCGUUUUCUCGUGUGAAGCUAGCCGAACGGAAGGCAUGAUGAAGCUCUGCACCGUUGCGAUGGAGAGGAGGAGCUACGUGAUAGCCAUGCCUUCUAAGCGAGAGGUGUUCAGAUGGCUCGAAGGCCUGAGGAUGCGUAGACGCUGGCCUUUGGGAGCAUCAAUACAGCUUGUUCACGCUUAGCUAUAUCACGGUGUUAUCCUGAUUGAGCUUUUUAUCUAAAUCAUAUCCUCAUUCUUCUUCAUAUUCUUCAUAUUGCAUUUGUUAAGAUUUUACAAGGUUAGGUCUUCUUGACCUUGCAAGACUUUUUCUUGACCUUGUAAGACCCAAAUUUGCAAUCUUUCUUUUCUUUGUCUCCAUCUUCUAAGUCCGCCUUCUUUAUCUUUCCAUCUUGCCCUUUCACCCUCAUUAUUGCUUUCUUCCUCUGUCUAUCCCUUCUGAGCUGUGUUGAGCUAUGUUCACAAAUUUAGUUAUAGAUUUAAGUAUUCAAAUAAUACAGUGAUGUUCAGUGAGAAGUGAAUGGUGUGGUGAUUCUCCCAUGUAUUGGUGUCAAUUCAUUGUGUAAAACCAUCUUUUCCACAAUAUAUUUUGUUUGGAUUGUAGAGUGCAGUAGACGAGACACAAAAGCAUGUUCCUGUUGCGCCAUGAUGCUCAGACAUGUGAAGUAGGAGUCUAUUUGUAAGCUUGCUUCAUAUGUACCCCAUGAAUGGAAAAGUUCACUG